rnacentral:lncRNA from 1 species
AUCUAGUAUUGUUUGGGUUUAGAAUAUGUUAGAAUACAAUAAAUUUGAUUGAUUACAAGAACUAUAGAUGCAUGAAGAGUGUUUGGAAGUAUGGAGAAAGACUUGUUGAAAUUGGGUCCCAUAUGGGCUAAGAACUCGGAAACAUUGCGUUGAACAACUAAAUGACUUAUCUAGUGUUGUUUGGGGUUAAAAUAUGUUAAAAUACAAUAACUUUGAUUGAUUACAAAUGCUAAAGAUGCAUGAAGAGUGUUUAGAAGUGUGUAGAAAAACUUGUUGAAAUUG